rnacentral:lncRNA from 1 species
GCAGGGCUUUCUCCUAUAGAGCUCAAUUUUUAUGGAAUAGUCUGCCUACCCAUGUGAGAGAUGCAGACUCGGUCUCAACCUUUAAGUCUUUACUGAAGACUCAUCUCUUCAGUGGGUCCUAUGAUUGAGUGUAGUCUGGCCCAGGAGUGUGAAGGUGAACGGAAAGGCUCUGGAGCAACGAACCACCCUUGCUGUCUCUGCCUGGCCGGUUCCCCUCUCUCCACUGGGAUUCUCUGCCUCUAACCCUAUUACAGGGGCUGAGUCACUGGCUUAUUGGUGUUCUUCCAUGCCGUCCCUAGGAGGGGUGCGUCACUUGAGUGGGUUGAGUCACUGACGUGGUCUUCCUGUCUGAGUUGCCCCCCCCCCUUGGGUUGUGCCGUGGCGGAGAUCUUUGUGGGCUAUACUCGGCCUUGUCUCAGGAUGGUCCUGGCAGAGUUGUGCAGACUCAGGACAAUGGAGCUUUGGAGGAAUACGCAGAUUUAAAGAGGAGUCUGACCUGAGCCCUAGGACAGUGCCUCAGGACUACCUGACAUGAUGACUCCUUGCUGUCCACCUGGCCCUGCUGCUGCUCCAGUUUCAACUGUUCUGCCUGCGGCUAUGGAACCCUGACCUGUUCACCGGAUGUGCUACCUGUCCCAGACCUGCUGUUUUCAACUCUCUAGAGACAGCAGGAGCGGUAGAGAUCCACUCAAUGAUCGGCUAUGAAAAGCCAACUGACAUUUUACUCUUGAGGUGCUGACUUGUUACACCCUCGACAACUGUGAUUAUUAUUAUUUGACUCUGCUGGUCAUUUAUGAACAUUUGAACAUCUUGGCCAUGUUCUGUUAUAAUCUCCACCCGGCACAGCCAGAAGAGGACUGGCCACCCCUCAUAGCCUGGUUCCUCUCUAGGUUUUGGCCUUUCUAGGGAGUUUUUCCUAGCCACCGUGCUUCUACACCUGCAUUGCUUGCUGUUUGGGGUUUUAGGCUGGGUUUCUGUACAGCACUUUGAGAUAUCAGCUGAUGUAAGAAGGGCUAUAUAAAUACAUUUGAUGUGAUUUGAUUUUGUAUGGGAUGCUGCCAUGUUAACUUGAGCUAGAAACCAAAGAGGGACUCAAUUGGAAUGUUACCUGUAGGAAUAUUCCCUGUUUGUUGGGAUGUACAUUUGCUGUCUUUAUCAGCCUGUGUGUGUGUUUGUGCAUGUCUCCCUGGGCCUGUGUAUUGUUUGCAGUGCGGUGCUGGGGGCUGUCUCAUUGAACAAUAUGAUCUUGUUGCCAUCUGAUGCACAUUGAUGUCAUAAAUCAGCACUGCAGAGCUCUCCUUGUCCUAGGCCGUGCCUUUAUUGUAUUACUGUUGAUGAUAUCUGGAAAUGUGCAUGUACACCCUCGCCCAUCUACUGUUGCUAGCCCCAACUCUAACUUGUGCUCAGAUAUCUGCUUCACUGAUUUCUGCUCUAGUAAAAGCCUGGGUUUUCUGCACGUUAACACUAAAAGCUUAUUACCUAAAAUGGAUCAAUUGAAAGUGUGGGUUCACAGCUCCAAUCCAGAUCUGUUGGUCAUUACUGAGCCGUGGUUAAGGAAGAGUGUUUUGAAUACUGAUGUUAACCUUUCUGGUUAUAACCUUUCUGGUUAUAACCUUUUUCGGCAAGACAGAUCUUCCAAAGGUGGGGGAGUGGCAAUCUUUACCAAGGAUCACCUUCAGUGCUCAGAUGUCUCCAAGUCUGUCCCCAAACAAUUUGAUUUGCUGGUUUUAAGCAUUGAACUUUCAAAUAGCUCUUUGUUGACUGUUGCUGGGUGCCAUCAUCCUCCAUCAGCACCGGCCUGUACCUGUCCUUCCCUAAGCUCUCUCCUGGCCCCUUACACUAAGUCUGAAUUCGUCCUGCUAGGUGACCUAAACUGGGACAUGCUUAAACCACCUGACCAAGUCCUGAAGCAAUGGGACUCCCUAAAUCUUUCAGAUUAUUACCAAUUUCACAAGCUAUGACUCCAAACAACCAGAAAAGACUACUCUCCUCGAUGUUAUGCUCACAAAUAAUCCUUAUAGGUGUCAGUCUGGGGUUUUCUGUAUAGACCUCAGUGAUCACCGUUUUACAGCCCGUGUUUGUAAUAUCUGCGCGGGGAAACGACCAGUCCUGAUUUGUCAUAGACGCUUGAUAAACUUUUUAAAACCGCUUAAGGAUCCACCCCUUUUUCUUUUUUUUUUUUUUUAAGUUUCGUCUUAAAUGACAUACCCAAAUCUAACUGCCUGUAGCUCAGGCCCUGAAGCAAGGAUACACAUUUUUUUUUUCCUACGCAUUUUCAAUCCCAUAAAGAAAAUGAGAAUUAAAAACAGGUUCAGCCCCUGGUUUGACUGUGAUCUUGCAGAGUCACGCCACCUCAAGAAUUGCAUUUGGCAUAAGGCUCGCCACACGCAUACAGUGGUUGCUCAAAAAGUUCUGCGAUUAUGCUGCGUAACUUAGAGGUAAUUUCUGGUUUAGUAUGGUACCCUGCG